rnacentral:snoRNA from 1 species
AGAAGUUGUGUGUUUUUAACAUGUGGAUGAAGAUUCAGAGACAAAUGCAAAUAAAAUUCUCUUUUACAACCCAGAACUAUUGUUCAGUAUGAGUUUUAAUACAUAUAGGAAGGAAUAUU